rnacentral:rRNA from 1 species
UACGGGGGGGGCAAGCGUUGUUCGGAAUUACUGGGCGUAAAGGGCGUGUAGGCGGCCAACUAAGUCCGACGUGAAAUCCCCAGGCUUAACCUGGGAACUGCGUCGGAUACUGGAUGGCUUGAAUCCGGGAGAGGGAUGCGGAAUUCCAGGUGUAGCGGUGAAAUGCGUAGAUAUCUGGAGGAACACCGGUGGCGAAGGCGGUUCUCUGGGACGGUACUGACGCUGAGACGCGAAAGCGUGGGGAGCGAACAGG